UCCGUGAUCGUCUAACGGUAGGACAGCGGCCUUGGAGCUGUUAAUCGUGGUUCGAAUCCAUGUCGGGAGCCA
rnacentral:tRNA from 1 species